rnacentral:lncRNA from 1 species
UCGCAGCUAAGCAGAACCACGCUACCAAUAUGUUAAUAUCAUCACCUGAGAAUUGUUCAACUGGUUGUACUUGCUCAUUAGACACACUAUUUGAUCCCCCUUCCAUAAUACCUAUACAAUCACAAAAAUGACCAAAACAUCAAUAUAGAUUUUGAAAACACAUCCCAAUAACAAUCAAUAACAUAAGUCAUACAAUCUCAAUAAGAUAUGCCAUUACAUAUAAGUACAAGAGUCUCAACACUAAUUAUAUUUGAAUAAACUAAAGAUUAAUAGAUAAUAUAAGUUAUACAGUCUAAUGAAACUCCAUGUAAUUCAUAAUAUAUUUCCAAACAUCUACUAAAGGAAUUGAAGAAGGCCAAUCCUCCUUGCAGGUGUGGAUGUAAUGAAAGCCUCCCUCCAUUCACAAUCGACGCAUGUUCGUUCCACUGCUUUAUUGUAAACAUCUUGCUCUAUCUCGGGCAUACUCAGUAGAAUCUGGACCACAGUAGAUAUGGAGAAAGAGUCUACAGGUGGUUGUGUAGUCCAUGAGCUCACAGAGCCACCACCAGAUUGACUUGAUGACCUAACUUUCAAAAAAUCUUGUAUGGCUCUGCAAGUUUCAAUAAUACUUGAUUGGUUACUCUUUCUUCUCCGCUUACUAUUUGGAGUUCUAUCCAAUUUGUGAUUUUCACGAGCUGAAGUUCCAGUAUCGUCUGUUGUAAAAAGUCUGUCAUCACUGUGGUGUCCAAUAAAAUCAUUUGCAUUGCUACCAUCAUAGUCACCACCUGCAUUGACAUCAUCUGCAUCGCGACCACUGUUGUCACCACCUACAUUGUCAUUACUAUUGUCAUCAUCAUCCGACACAUUCACAUCUUCAGCACAUCCUAUGGCGUGAUCCCCAGUAGCAUAUGUACCACAAAAAAUAAUACAGAGCUCAGGAUACUGAGGAAAUCCAUUCUUCCUGAAUCUUGUCCACUCGACAUUAUCUUACAAUUUUCACAAUAAUGACAUUUCAGCAAUAUAAUUAUACAUUUUAAAAUUAACAUCUGUAAUGAUAUCAAAAUGACCACAAAGUUAAGAAAUACCUUGAUAUGAGAUUCCCAUAUACUUGGAUUGUCGACAACAACUCUUUUGUUCACAUUAUCCAAACUAAAUCCGGACUGAGAAAUGAGUUUGUGAAAACUGCCAUACUGUUUUUUCAGUUUGUUUACCUUGUUCCUCAGCUGUACCAUGGUAAAUUGGAAUUAUGUCUGUCUACUGAGUUCAAACUGUACAUUCAUCCACCCCACUUUGUUGAAAGUGGAAGAGGUGCGGUUUCCCUUUUUGACCUCAUCCACCAAUAAACCGAUAAGUAUAUUGGUUACAAACCCCGUCCACUUUGCAUUGAAUGAGUGUCUCUCAGAUGCCAUUGAAUCUUUGACCGGUUGAGCAUCACAUGAGUUAUGAAUUAAAUCAUUAACAUAAAACCGUAAGAACUACACGCC